UUCUGUUUUUUUCACUCGCUCACAUAGCCAGUCUUGCUGCUGUGCCCUAGAAACAGCGUCAAGAGGACACACACUGGAGACAACGGAAACAAUCAUCAACAAGCGGGCAUAGAGCGCUGGGUGGGGGGUAGAAAAUUGUCAUAUGUGCUG
rnacentral:lncRNA from 1 species